rnacentral:lncRNA from 1 species
GAGCGAGCAAUGGGUGGCAGGCAGGCAGAUACAACAGACCGAACCGAAGCCAACAGAAAGGAAACAAAAAAUAGCUAAAAAGAAACAGACAGUGGAAAUAAAGAAAUUAAAGUGCCAUUGCCCGACCCGACCCCCUGCUGCAGGGAAGAGGUUGCUGGAUUUUUUUAGAAGAGCCUAUAAAAACAAUUUAGUAAGCAAUAAAAAUGCUGAAAAUAGCUUCAAAUUGAAUUUCAGCAAGAGCAUGCAACGUUAUUUUAUCUAUCGAUAAAGGCUAAGAUACUCGAAUGAGUAGAGGAAAGGAAAGGCAAGUGUGUGUGUUGAUAGAGGGGAGUUGGCCAAUUGCCUGGGUGCCUGCCAACACCCACGGCUCUGCUCAGGAAACAUCAAAAAGCGAGGCCAUUAAAGGAUUCCCUUUUUUUCCCACAUUCGUGGGGCAACCCUUUCACGCACUUACGCAGCUUGAGAACAAACAUUGGCAGAAAGGGUG